rnacentral:sRNA from 1 species
UCUGGUUGCCGAAGUGGCAUUUAGCAAC